GAUGAAGAACGCAGCGAAAUGCGAUAAGUAAUGUGAAUUGCAGAAUUCAGUGAAUCAUCGAAUCUUUGAACGCACAUUGCGCCCGCCAGUAUUCUGGCGGGCAUGCCUGUUCGAGCGUCAUUUCAACCAUCAAGCCCCCGGCUUGUGUUGGGGACCUGCGGCUGCCGCAGGCCCUGAAAACCAGUGGCGGGCUCGCUGUCACACCGAGCGUAGUAAUACAUCUCGCUCAGGGCGUGCUGCGGGUUCCGGCCGUUAAAAAGCCUUAUUUACCCAAGGUUGACCUCGGAUCAGGUAGGAAGACCCGCUGAACUUAAGCAUAUCAAUAAGCGGAGGA
rnacentral:misc_RNA from 1 species